rnacentral:lncRNA from 1 species
GCCUUCCUCACUAGGUUAGCAAGCCUGUUUGUGAAGAUGCUCUUCUCUCUUUUUGCCAGGUGGAUCCCAUCUCUUCCUAUCAAUCCUUCUUCUUGGAAGAUCAUGCAUUGAUCUGCAGGAUGCACCUACUCCUGCUCAGGCCCAUCCCCUUGACUAGAAGGAUCAAGAAUAACACCUGAGCCUCACAUUUUAUAUUGGAUAAUCUUCCCAUCACCAUUAUAUCUUCACAAUUUCCAUUUAAAACCAUGUGGAUUGAAUGCUUUUUGAUGUCCUAGAGAAGGCUGGCUGCCUCUUGCUCAAGAAUAUUUCCAUUGAAAUCAGAACACCCCCCUUGCCCCUGCCCCCCACCCCAAAAAAGGAUGGGAUUCAGGAAACAAUUUUCAGACCAUAAGACUGCCAAAAGGAAAGAACACAGACACAGCAUCUCCAGCAUAAGCAAGAGUUUCAGUGGAACUUCUCCAUACAAGAAGAAAACACUGGAGGUGAUGAAAAUGUCUUCCAAUUUUUCCUUACUAGAACUAUAUAAAUUCACUUCCAGAUCUGGUUUAAAGCCAGAUUCUCUGCGGAUAGAGGCCUGAAAUUUCCAAAAGUUCUGGGUUUAAGAAACUUUUCCUCCAAAAAUCUAAUUCUAGUGAGGUCCUUUAAACCAAAUCAUUUUGGAGGUUUAUACUAGUUCAAAAAGGGUUUACACAGUUUUUUUUUUUUUUUUUUUUUUUUUUUCUGGAACUAGAAGGGGGACUAGUGGCUGUAAUGCUAUGUUUACUUGCAGUUUAUAAUUUUAAUUUUCUUUGUGUUUUUUAUAGAGCUCCAGGCUGAACAUAGUUCCUGGUAAACAUAGAAGAGACAUAGCUGGAACUCAAACUAUAUGGAAGCCAGUUGUGUUUGGAGUUGAAGUUCUUGUCUUUAAUGAGCACUACUUGCUUAAGAAGGAUUGCACUAUAUUAUGAAACUGGUCCAUUUGGAAAACAUCAUGCAACUUGCUCCUUUUCCCAGAAAAUCUAGAUUGUACUAAAAUAGGCAUA